GGUCAUGAGUGUCAGCAUUCAGCCCCGGCUCGCUGACCGGCAACCCUCCUACCGCGGUGGGGUGCUCCGGGUGAUGUCCUGGCUGCGACGGACUCGUCGCAGCAAGCGCGGGUC
rnacentral:ncRNA from 2 species